rnacentral:lncRNA from 1 species
UAUAGAUAAAUAACAAAUAUACAAUAUGUUUGUAAAAUGAAUAUUAAUCUAGGAUACUAUGGAUAUUUAAAUCGAAUGAGUCAUAUUUACCAAAUAAACAUAUGAUUAGAUGUUUAGAUAAAAAAAAUUCUAAUUUUGGUUAAUAAUGUUUCAAUUUAUUAAUAACAAAUUAUUAAUGUUAGCGUAAAAUUAAUUUGAAUUAUGAAAACAUUGAGCUCAAUUAUUUAAAAAUUUUAAAAAUUAACUUGGCUAAUGCAUUUAUAGAUAUAAAUAGCUUAGUUUUCAAAAAUAAAAUUUAGAUAAACUAGUUAUAAUUUAAGAAUUAUGCAAUUUUAUAUUAAUAGUAUUUAUUAUUCUAAAUUUAGUAAUUAUUUUAUUUUUUUAUUAUAGACGAGUUUAAAUAUUAAUAUUCGCGUGCAAUACAGGUGAGUAAAAAUCUAGUUUGUAUUAAAAAAAAGACAAGGAUAUAAUUAUCAUCAAACACAAAAAGCAUAGACAUUAACUUGUUUAUAAUAAAAAGCAUAUAGAAACUAAAUUUGGUAAAAAAAAUCUUAAUUUUUUGGUACUAAUUGAUAAUGAAUCACCUAUCAAACAAGAAAGCAUAGAAAUUAAAUUGUUUAUAAUAAAAAGCUUAUAAAAACUAAAUUUGGUAUGAAUAAUUCUUAAUUUAGUGGUACUAAUUGAUGAUGUAUCACCUAUAAACUAAGUAAGCAUAUGCUUUUUAUAGUGUUGUUUUCUUUGUCAUUUUAUGGCUUUAUGGUUUUGAUUUUUAUAAGGGAAAAUUGCAUUUGGUUUUAGGCUAAAUUAUUUUCACUAUUCUAGAAUUCUAAGGCUAGUACCACCAAAGUCUCUAAUUUUCAAUUUGUAAUAUUAAAUUCUCUAAAUUUUUAUCUUUAUAUCAAAAAACUUCAUACCGCAUAUUUAGUUAAGUACUAUAAUAGAAAUAUAAUAUGAUAGUCCACUUAUAAAAAACUUUCUUUAAAAUAAAUAAAUUCACAUUAUUUUAGUGAAAUACAUAGUCCCAUUUAUUUUCUUUUCUCUAUAUUUCUUUCUCUCUCUCAGCUUUUCUAUCUUUUUCUUUUUUCUUCCUCUUUUUACUCUACCUUUCUCUUUUUCUUUAUCUUUUCAUCUUUUAAUUUUUCAAAACUUUAGCCACCAUUCAAGUGGAUUGAGCAACAAUAACUUUUCAAAAAUUAUUUUCUUUUAUUUUCACCAAAAUCAAAUUCACAAAUAUACAAAUACUAUAAAUUUUAAAAAUCCCACAAUUUCUUCUUCACUAUCUUUAGGUUUUUGCAAUGUAGGAGGCUCUUUCCAUCAUCAAUGCAACAAAAAUAAUGUUGAUUGUUUGCUUGUCAGUCUCGUUCCACUGCUCUUCUUUAGUGUCUAUCAUUCAUGUCGAUCAAGCAACAAUAAAAUCAAAAGGAACGAGAAAUUAGUUGAACGGAUACUUUUUUUGUGAGUUUUUAUUUGUGAUUAUAGAUCUUCUUCUUCUUUUUAAUUUAGUUUAGCAGUAGAAAUUAAUUUUAUGAAUUUUGUUUUUAAGAGUUUAAAUUGAUCUGUAAUUACUGGUCUUUAUUUUUUUUAAUUAGUUUAAUAUAUUUUGAAAAAUAAUAAUUUUUUUUUCUUAUUUAUAUAUAUAUAAUUUUUAGUUUAUGAUCUUAUUUCUUUUGUAAUAAGGAAACGAUGAUUCGUGGUGGUAACGGUGGACGAGAGAAUAAUGAUAGUGGAGAUAGAAGUGUGGUUUUUAGAUAUGAAUUUAGAAUUUCAGAAGUUGCUAUAUUGAUUUUGAUAGAUCAUUAAAUUUUUUUUUUUUUUUUUUACUUUGAGCUUUAAAAUUAGGGACUGUAAUGUGAUGGAUUUUAGAGUAUAUACAGUAAAUGAAGAAGAAGAAAUGAAAAAGAAGGGAAGAGAUGAGAAUUUGAAUAAUAGGACAUGUGUUGUUAAUAUGUCUUAUUCAAAUAUAUGUAUUUUUCUAAAAAAAAAUUUACAGGUUGCUAUGUUAUUUUUUCGUCUAGAAUUUAAUGGAAAUUAACAGUAGAAAACUUUUUUGAUAUGAAAAUCGAAAUUUAGAUAGACAUGUGAUUUACGGUAUCAUUAUAAAUUUGUGACUUGUACUUUGGUUUUAUAAGAUUGACUGUUGGUUAAUGUGAAUUACGGUAUCAUCAUAGACCUCCUGGUUACGGAAACUUGGGCUCAAAUUUAGCCCUUCAAGAGAAGUAGCAAUAAUGAUGGACCAAUUCAUAAACUAUGUCAAGACUAAAACUCUCCAGGUAUUAUCUGUUCCAUUAACUCAUAACUUCAUAAUUUUAUCCUUGCAAAGAAAAGGAUUCUAAAAUAACUGGUAUUUAAUUUAUAAAAUUUAAGUACUUAACUCUGAAUUUAUGUGGAAUAUGAUACUAUCACUACUCUAAUAGAAUAGAUUUCAAAUUCAAAUAUUGUUAGUGUUGAAAAUUUAUUUAAUUAAUUUUCUCAUUUUUACUCAAGUUUCUUAACUUUUAUUAAAAAUAGUAUUUGACAAUAUUAUUAAUUUAAUUUUUAUUUAAAAUAUGAUUUAAUUUUCAGUCUCAGUUUUUAUGAUAAAUAAUACGAUAAUUAGAAAUAUUCUUUUCAAAAAAUCAAAAUAAAAACUAAAUUACAAAAUAGCAAAUGGAAAAAUCUACUUCCGUGCUUAAGUUAUCUUGUUUGAUUACUUGUUAUAUCAAUUAUUAAUUCGGUUAAUGAUGUAUUGGGCUUGAUUACAAAUUCAAUCCAUUAGGCAGUAUCCAACUUAACUAGUAAACCAACUUAACCCAAAUUCAUCCAAAAACAAUGAAUUGGGUGUAUUAUUGGUUUGAGUUAGUUUUUAGUAUGAAUCUUUUUCGAGGAAUUUACAUGGUGUAUGUUUUUUUUACAUAUAAUGUUUACUUUUAUACCACACCUUUUGAAUUUUAUUUUUUUUUGCUAAUCCUUAUUUUCUUUUUGGAUGUAGUUUUGAAGCUUUGUAUUUGGUUAUGGACUUUUCAUCGCAUUUUGUUACUAUUUAUUCUUUUUUCUUUGAUUUAUUUUCAGAACAACUUUUAACUGUUAUUUUCUCAAUUUUUGAUCUAAACUCUAAAAAGAUUGCAGCAAAUCUAACAACUAUCUCAUCAAUAAUUCACAAAUUCACUUCAUCAAAUAGAAAAAUAAAAAAUUAGAGAUUUUUUGAAGAUAAAUUCAUUAGUUCUUUAACUUUAUAAGAGUUAAUUAAAUCUAAUUUCAAACUUUUAUUUAGUUGAUUUUGUGUUAUUUUAAAUUUAAUAUAUUAAAAUACUUCAAAAAUUAUCACAUUGUGAUUUAUUAAAUAUUUUAAAGUUAUAAAAGAUGAAUGUUGAAUUUCAAAACUAAGAUCUACCAAAAACUAAAUACUUAGAUCNNNUAAUAUAUCAUAAGUAUAUAUUUUUAAAAUUUAGUAAAUUUAUUUUUAUAUUAUAUGUGCUUGAUAUAUGACUUAUAAAAUUUUUGUAUAUUAAGUAUUAUAUGAUAUAGGUAUAUAAAAGGAUAAAUUAUUUGUAUAUUAUAUAGAAAAAAAUUUAUUUUCCUAAAAUAUAAAGAUAAUUUUUUAAGUAUAUUGAAAAGUAUAUAGUAAGUAUAUAAUGAGUUUAUUUUAGGUAUAUGAUAUUAUGAUUUUCAUUAUUUUUUUUGCAUUCAAUUUUUAAAAAUACUCUUAUUUUUUAAUAUAUAUAUGGACUAUCUAUUUUUCUUCACCACAAUAGAUAUUGGAAAAAAAAUGAGAUACAUAGACUUUGAUACAAAUGACAUUUAAUAGCAAUAACUUUUAUAUUCAAUUUUAUGACUUUGUUUAAUGAAUUAAAAUUUGUGUAACUAAAUAUUUUUUUAUAAUUAGUUAAUAACUAUUAUGAGUGGUUAAAAUUAUUUAUUAGAAUCUAUAGUACUUUUGCAAUAAAUAUAUAAGUCUUAAUAAAUUAAAAAAUGGCAGUAGACACUCAUAUCAUACUCAUAAUAUAAUCAACAUAUAUUAUAUAUUGUUGAAGAGGAAAUUUUAAAUAUUGUUAUAAUUUUUUAUUAGAUCUUCAAAAUAUAGAACUUGUAGCUUUUCUUUAUUUUUUUUUAUAUUCUACUAGUUUUACAUAUUACGGUUCUUUUUUAUGAGAAACAAAUCAAGUAUAAUUAUGAUUUUUAAUCAACAAGCUUAUAACUAUCAGAAAAGGCUUGUGAUCAUAUUGUUCUCUUACGCAAAAUCCAAAAAAGAUGAAGGUUUUGAUAGUGAGUUUGAAUCAUGUGGCAAGCUUAAGAAGGUGGAUAGACAAAAGAAAAUUUAGGAAAGAAACUUGAUGUAAUUUUUAUAUGGUAUUUUUGUUGACGCAUUGUACAUUAUUGAUUUUGAUACUAAGUAGGUAUUAUUUUCUCAUAGAUAUGAUUUUAGUUGUAAAUUUUAUUUGUUUGAUUUUGUUAUAAAUGAUUUGUAUAUAUGAAAAAAAUUAUUGUUUUAGUUUAAAUACGUAAGUGCUAGUCCUUUUGGCCAUCAAAUGCAUAUUUAGAUUUAAGCAUGUUUAAAUGUAAGUUAAAUAUACUCAGAAUGUACUAUGAAGAUAUCCUUUAUAUAUUCACAAUAUACUUAUAAUAUAUUUUGAUGAUACUCUUUGUAUACUCGAAAAAGAAACUCAGUGUCAACUAUAUACUCAUAAUAUACUCGGAGUAUACUAUAUACUGUUAAACAUUAGGUUUGAAAAGUUGUUGUCCUUUGAUAUGAGAAUGUCUAUUACAUUAAGUUUACAUUGCCAAUAUCCCUUAUGGUGAAGAAAAAUAGAUACUGUGUAUAUAUUUAAAUAAAAAGUAUAAAAAAUAAUUUUAAAAUUUUAAUGGAGAAGAUUUAGUAAGAAUCAGAGUAUCAUAUACCUGAAAUAAACUCGUUAUAUACUUAUAAUAUAUUGUUUACUAUAUUUUUUCGGGUUAAUAAUAACAAUACUAUAAAAAAUUUAGUUCUUUUCAUACGAGCAUUUUAUCAAACAUCUAAACUGUAAUAUCUGGUUUAACAAAAUCAGUUAUAUUUCUACGUGAUUUUUCAUUUAAAAUAAAAAUUCAAAAUACAAAUACUAAAGAAUAUAUAAAAAAGAAAUUUUAUUUCCUUGAUUAUGAGAAAAUCUUUAUUAGUGUCCCAAGCAAUUCUCAACAAGAACAAAAGAAAUAGUAUAGUUUAAAUUCUUUCAAAUAAAUCUAAACUAAAGUCGCUUUAGAUUCUUUACUCUUCUCUUUUUUAUUUUUGUUUAAAAAAGUUUUUAGCCAUCAAAAAAUCAUCUUCCAUCACUACAUAUCAAAACUAAAUAUUUGAAUGUAACAAAAUAAUCCAACUAGUAAGGAAAAAGUUUAGAGAAACAGAGAAUAAAAAAUGACAAUAACGAUGGCACUGCUUUCUUCUUUUAUUAACAAUGUUCAUCUUUUCUUCAAUUCUACCUCCUUCUGUUACAUGGUUCUCUUCUUUUUUUCUUCUUGUAGUUUUAUUCUUUUUUAAUCUUUUAGUCUCAUUAUAGUAAUUAUAGUUUGUUUUCUCUUUUUUUUUUUCAAUCUUUCUUUAUCUAAUGAACUGUGAAUAAAAAAAGAGAGGAGAAGAAAAAGAUUGAGGAAAGAAAUAUGUGCUUUUCAGUUUAAGCGUAUAAAAAUAAUAUUUUUUAGUUUUAGAGUAAUUUUAUAAAAUUUUAGAAAUGAAAGUAUAAAAGUUAGUUGGUAUAGAUUUUUAGGCAUUUGUAUAGAAAUCCCAUUUUUUAUGAGGAAAUUUCAUGGUGGUUCUUUUAAAACUUUUAAUUUUUUGAGUUUAUUUUACAUUUUGUUUUGAUGAUUUAAAAAGAAAUUUCUUUUUAUUUAUACCAGUUUUUUUUUUUGUUUAUACAAUUUUUUUUAUAUUUUAAAAUUGUGUCAAAAAUACUAACAAUAUACAAAAAAGAAACCAAAAAAAUAUCAUUUAAUUUUUAAGAUAAUGUGUUAUUUUUUUAUUUUAUAUCUUUAUAUCUGAUAUCCUUGAAUUAAAGGAUAUUACAUUGUAUUUUAUAGUAACUAGUGUAUUUUGAUAGGAUUGAAAAGGUGUGUUUCAAAAAAUAUAAAACUAAAAAGAGUUAUUUAAAUGUGCCAAAAAAAUAGUAAUUUUAUAUUUAUAGCGGUUAUUUGAAAUUUUUAUGACAAUGAAAAAGUAAAUAGAGAUAAAAAAUGAAGAUGAUACUGUCAUAACUUUAUUAAGAAAAUCAUACUAAAAUGAUAUCAAAUAAUAAUAAAAAAUACUUUAAAGAAAGCAAUACAAAUAAUAUUUUUACAGAUUUUAGACCAUAAAAAUAAAAAAAAUUUAAACCUUAAGAAUAAAUUUGCACAGUCCAUUUCCCCUAUAUAUGUAAAAAAAGAGACCUUUUUUUAUUAUUGAGCUUUACAUUAUAUGUUCGUUUGUACUUUUAGAAUCUAAAAUAUUUUGAAUACAAACACUAUUUUUUUAUUAUUGAGCUUUACAUUAUAUGUUCGUUUGUCCAUUUCCCCAUCAAAUACUAUUUUUUUAUUAUUGAGCUUUACAUUACAGUAACUCGAUCUUUUUCGUUUUGUACUUUUAUUUUCUAAAUGAAAUUGUUUAUAUAUCCAUUUAUGUGAUUUAAACACAUUUUUUCUAUGAUCUUUCUUUACAAAAUCUAUUAGACACGUGAAAAUUAUUUACUUUCAUGAAUAUCUCUUUUUCUUUUUUCUUUUUUUAAGAAAAAACAGUCCAUGAGCAAUUCUUCCGACAAUAUUUAGACAAAAGAUGAGGAACAAAGACAUUACGAUUGGAACUGUUAUCAUUGGAACGGAAAUCUUGAAAUAUAUAAACAUGACAAUAUAGCAACAAUUCUGAAUGAGAGACUUGAAUUUGUUAGGUGCUUACAUCAAUUUUAUAUCUCACCACACGUUAGACUAGACUAGUAUCCAGCACCUUUUUUUUUUUUUUUAUAAAUCCUCUGCGCUUAGUUUAAAAUAUUAAAUCAAAUAAACUAUUAAUUUAAAUAGUUGUAAUGAUAAUUUUGAGUGGUGUAUAUUUCAAAUUUAGAUUAUUUUAUAUUUGAGUUAUUUUUACUAUUUUAUUUGAAUGGUUUAGUUUCAAACGCUCGAGCCAUGAGUCACUUCAUUCUCAAAAUAUUUAGAAUCUAAAAUAUUUUGAAUAUAAACAGUUUUAAUCUCGAGUCAAUUUAGAUUCAGUUCUUCAAUUAUGUUUUAAAAUGUAAAUCUAAAUAUAUUAAAUUUCAAACAAGACAGUUAAAUCUUCAAAUUUUAAUCAAAUUUUGGUAUUUUUAAUAAUAAUUUUACGGGGAACGCUGAAAAUAAAUAAUUAAAAGAACGAUAACUUACAUUAUAUAUAAUUGAAAUUUAUAAGAUUUAUGGAAUUCAUUCAAUAUAAAGUGUAUGUGCUUUGAAUGAAAUGAAAGUUUCACAUAAUCAAAUUUGUAUGGAAUUAGUUACAGCUAAAUUAAAUUUUAACAAAAUA